GACGAACCACCCAAACGUUAUUCGGAAUUACUGGGCUUAAAGAGUGCGUAGGCGGCCUUGAAAGUAGGGUGUGAAAUCCCACAGCUCAACUGUGGAACUGCGCUCUAAACUACAUGGCUAGAGGGAUAUAGAGGUGAGCGGAACUGAUGGUGGAGCGGUGAAAUGCGUUGAUAUCAUCAGGAACACCGGUGGCGAAGGCGGGUCUCUGGGCCGAUACUGACGCUGAGGAGCGAAAGCGUGGGGAGCGAACAGG
rnacentral:rRNA from 1 species